UUGAUAGAAACCAAAAUAGAGGUGUAUCAUUGUUAAUGAUAAAAUUAAGUAAUAACUUCUAUCAAG
rnacentral:tRNA from 1 species